UGGGGAAUUUUGGACAAUGGGGGAAACCCUGAUCCAGCCAUCCCGCGUGUGCGAUGAAGGCCUUCGGGUUGUAAAGCACUUUUGGCAGGAAAGAAACGUCAUGGGUUAAUACCCCGUGAAACUGACGGUACCUGCAGAAUAAGCACCGGCUAACUACGUGCCAGCAGCCGCGGUAAUACGUAUGGUGCAAGCGUUAAUCGGAAUUACUGGGCGUAAAGCGUGCGCAGGCGGUUCGGAAAGAAAGAUGUGAAAUCCCAGAGCUCAACUUUGGAACUGCAUUUUUAACUACCGGGCUAGAGUGUGUCAGAGAGAGGUGGAAUUCCGCGUGUAGCAGUGAAAUGCGUAGAUAUGCGGAGGAAAACCGAUGGCGAAGGCAGCCUCCUGGGAUAACACUGACGCUCAUGCACGAAAGCGUGGGGAGCAAACAGG
rnacentral:rRNA from 1 species